GAUGAACGCUGCGGCGUGCCUAAUACAUGCAAGUCGAGCGAACAGACGAGGAGCUUGCUCCUCUGACGUUAGCGGCGGCCGGGUGAGUAACACGUGGAUAACCUACCUAUAAGACUGGGAUAACUUCGGGAAACCGGAGCUAAUACCGGAUAAUAUAUUGAACCGCAUGGUUCAAUAGUGAAAGACGGUUUUGCUGUCACUUAUAGAUGGAUCCGCGCCGCAUUAGCUAGUUGGUAAGGUAACGGCUUACCAAGGCAACGAUGCGUAGCCGACCUGAGAGGGUGAUCGGCCACACUGGAACUGAGACACGGUCCAGACUCCUACGGGAGGCAGCAGUAGGGAAUCUUCCGCAUUGGGCGAAAGCCUGACGGAGCAACGCCGCGUGAGUGAUGAAGGUCUUCGGAUCGUAAAACUCUGUUAUUAGGGAAGAACAAAUGUGUAAGUAACUAUGCACGUCUUGACGGUACCUAAUCAGAAAGCCACGGCUAACUACGUG
rnacentral:rRNA from 1 species